CGAACUCUUCGGAGUUAGUGGCAGACGGGUGAGUAACGCGUGGGAACCUACCUUUAGGUACGGAACAACAGUUGGAAACGACUGCUAAUACCGUAUGUGCCCUAUGGGGGAAAGAUUUAUCGCCUAAGGAUGGGCCCGCGUUGGAUUAGCUAGUUGGUGGGGUAAUGGCCUACCAAGGCGACGAUCCAUAGCUGGUCUGAGAGGAUGAUCAGCCACACUGGGACUGAGACACGGCCCAGACUCCUACGGGAGGCAGCAGUGGGGAAUAUUGGACAAUGGGGGCAACCCUGAUCCAGCCAUGCCGCGUGAGUGAUGAAGGCCCUAGGGUUGUAAAGCUCUUUCAGCGAGGAGGAUAAUGACGUUACUCGCAGAAGAAGCCCCGGCUAACUUCGUGCCAGCAGCCGCGGUAAUACGAAGGGGGCUAGCGUUGUUCGGAAUCACUGGGCGUAAAGCGCACGUAGGCGGAUUGAUAAGUUAGGGGUGAAAUCCCGGGGCUCAACCUCGGAACUGCCUUUGAUACUGUCAGUCUUGAGUCCGAGAGAGGUGAGUGGAACUCCGAGUGUAGAGGUGAAAUUCGUAGAUAUUC
rnacentral:rRNA from 1 species